rnacentral:rRNA from 1 species
UGGGGGAUAUUGCACAAUGGGCGAAAGCCUGAUGCAGCGACGCCGCGUGGGGGAUGAAGGCCUUCGGGUUGUAAACUUCUUUUGCUCUGAACAAGGCGCACCAUGGGGUGUGUUGAGUGUGGGGGUUGAUUAGCGCCGGCUAACUACGUGCCAGCAGCCGCGGUAAUACGUAGGGCGCGAGCGUUGUCCGGAAUUAUUUGGCGUAAAGGGCUUGUAGGUGGCUGGUUGCGUCUGUCGUGAAAGCUCAUGGCUUAACUGUGGGUUUGCGGUGGGUACGGGCUGGAUUGAGUGCAGUAGGGGAAGCUGGAAUUCCUGGUGUAGCGGUGGAAUGCGCAGAUAUCAGGAGAAAUACCGGUGACGAAGGCGGGUCUCUGGGCUGUUACUGACACUGAGAAGCGAAAGCAUGGGGAGCGAACAGG